GAUCAAGUGUCUUAAGGGCAAUUGGUGGAUGCCUUGGCAUGCACAGGCGAUGAAGGACGUGAUACGCUGCGAUAAGCUACGGGGAGGUGCGAAUACCCUUUGAUCCGUAGAUCUCCGAAUGGGGAAACCCACCUAAGGUACUUGGAAAAUCAGAGCAGCAGGGCAACUGACGCGACAAUCCCAAAAGGAUUGAGCGUGGGGCGACGAUCUCUUUGGGAUCGCGCUGUUUUUGCUGCUGUGGUUUCCAAGUAUCGAUAAUAGGUAACUUAUCCUGAAUACAUAGGGAUAAAGUGGCGAACGCGGGGAACUGAAACAUCUAAGUACCCGUAGGAAAGGACAUCAACCGAGACUCCGGAAGUAGUGGCGAGCGAACCCGGACCAGGCCAGCGGCGAUUGAGAGACAAGCGGAACCUUCUGGAAAGUUGGGCCAUAGCGGGUGACAGCCCCGUACGCGUAAUGCGAUCAAUCGUCCUUGAGUAAGGCGGGACACGUGAAAUCCUGUCUGAAAUUGGGAGGACCACCUUCCAAGCCUAAGUACUCGUGCAUGACCGAUAGCGAACUAGUACCGUGAGGGAAAGGUGAAAAGCACCCCGACAAGGGGAGUGAAAGAGUACCUGAAACCGAUUGCCUACAAACAGUGGGAGCCCGUCCUUCAAAUCGCUUGACGAUUUGAAGAACUUUUGAUUUUGCCAUCAAGAGCGCAAGCGCUUUGAUGGGCGGGUGACCACGUACCUUUUGUAUAAUGGGUCAGCGACUUAGUGUGACGAGCAAGCUUAAACCGAUAGGUGUAGGCGCAGCGAAAGCGAGUCUGAACAGGGCGUUCAGUUCGUCGCAUUAGACCCGAAACCGAGUGAUCUAGCCAUGAGCAGGCUGAAGGUAAGGUAACACUUACUGGAGGGCCGAACCCAUAACUGUUGCAAUAGUUCGGGAUGACUUGUGGCUAGGGGUGAAAGGCCAAUCAAACUCGGAAAUAGCUGGUUCUCCGCGAAAUCUAUUUAGGUAGAGCGUCGACCGAAUACCCCAGGGGGUAGAGCACUGGAUGGGCUAGGGGUCCUCACCGGAUUACCAAACCUAACCAAACUCCGAAUACCUGGGAGUACUAGUCGGCAGACACACGGCGGGUGCUAACGUCCGUCGUGAAAAGGGAAACAACCCUGACCUACAGCUAAGGUCCCCAAGUUAUGGCUAAGUGGGAAAGGAUGUGAGGAUCCCAAAACAACCAGGAUGUUGGCUUAGAAGCAGCCAUCAUUUAAAGAAAGCGUAACAGCUCACUGGUCUAAAUAAGGGUCUUUGCGCCGAAAAUGUAACGGGGCUAAAGCCAUACACCGAAGCUUAGGGUUCGUGAGCAAUCACGAGCGGUAGCGGAGCGUUCUGUAAGCCAGUGAAGCCGUACCCGUGAGGGGCGGUGGAGGUAUCAGAAGUGCGAAUGCUGACAUGAGUAACGUAAGGGGAG
rnacentral:rRNA from 1 species